UACGUAGGGUGCAAGCGUUGUCCGGAUUCAUUGGGCGUAAAGAGCGCGCAGGCGGCUUGGUAAGUCGGAUGUGAAAACUCGAGGCUCAACCUCGAGCUGUCGGUGGAAACUGUCUGGCUAGAGUCCGGAAGAGGAGAGUGGAAUUCCUGGUGUAGCGGUGAAAUGCGCAGAUAUCAGGAAGAACACCUAUGGCGAAGGCAGCUCUCUGGGACGGUACUGACGCUGAGACGCGAAAGCGUGGGGAGCAAACAGG
rnacentral:rRNA from 1 species